CCUGAUUCCUGCACAUGUAAGUUACCAGAUACUCUUGAGGGACCAAUUUAAGGGCAAACAGACAAACGUUUUGAUGCAAAGAAAGCAUUGGAUUUGAAAGUUCCCAUGGAGAAGAAAAAUGGAGAGAUUCUAAAAGUAUGAAGAUACUCCUGUGUAUAAUGAGGAAAUCUUGUCAGUGAAUG